rnacentral:tRNA from 1 species
GUUGUGGCUCAGUGGUAGAGUGCUCGCCUAGCACAUGUGAGGCACUGGGUUCGAUCCUCAGCACUACA